ensembl:snRNA U1 U1 spliceosomal RNA
GAAGCCACCUAGCAGGGGACAUACCAUGAUCACGAAGGUGGUUUUUCCAGGGUGAGUCUUAUCCAUUGCACUCCGGAUGUGCCCUGCGAUUUCGCCAAAUGUAGGAAACUUGACUGCAUAAUUUGUGAUAGUAGGGGACUGCCUUUGGGCUUUCCCCCG